rnacentral:rRNA from 1 species
CAAUAGCGUAUAUUAAAGUUGUUGCGGUUAAAAAGCUCGUAGUUGGAGUUCCGCCAGGUGCCGCCUGUCCGCCCCAGUGGUGAGUACGUGGCGCGCAUUUGGCCCUUUCAAGGGGAGCGUAUCUGCACUUUAUUGUGUGGUGCGGGAUCCUUGACUUUUACUUUGAGGAAAUAGGAGUGUUCCAAGCAGGCUCUCGUCGUGCACAGCUCAGCAUGGAAUAAUAGCAUUGGACCUCGAUUCUAAGCUGUUGGUUGCCAGAAGCGAGGUAAUGAUGAAGAGGGAUAGUUGGGGGCAUUCGUAUUUAACUGUCGGAGGUGAAAUUCUUGGAUUUGUUAAAGACGGACUACUGCGAAAGCAUCUGCCAUGGAUGUUUUCAUUGA